CAGCCGCCGCGGUAAUACGGAGGGUGCAAGCGUUAUCCGGAUUCACUGGGUUUAAAGGGUGCGUAGGCGGGUAGGUAAGUCAGUGGUGAAAUCUCAGAGCUUAACUCUGAAACUGCCAUUGAUACUAUUUAUCUUGAAUAUUGUGGAGGUAAGCGGAAUAUGUCAUGUAGCGGUGAAAUGCUUAGAUAUGACAUAGAACACCCAUUGCGAAGGCAGCUUACUACGCAUAUAUUGACGCUGAGGCACGAAAGCGUGGGGAUCAAACAGGAUUAGAUACCCUGGUAGUCCACGCCCUAAACGAUGGAUACUCGACAUACGCAAUACACCGUGUGUGUCUGAGCGAAAGCAUUAAGUAUCCCACCUGGGAAGUACGACCGCAAGGUUGAAACUUAAAGGAAUUGGCGGG
rnacentral:rRNA from 1 species